rnacentral:misc_RNA from 1 species
AUGGUGAGACUGAGGCCUAACUGCAGCAGUAUCCUUGUCUAGUUGAGGUAAAACAGACUCCCCACGCUGAUUAGACUCCUUUUUAAUGGCCAUACCACCUUCACUGCCUCCAUGCACACUUGUAUUGGCCCGGCUUCCUCGUUGACUAGUAGCAGAAAUUGGCUGAGAUUUAGGCUGCCAGUGAGAUGUUGAUCGUUCCACAGCUGAAUGAUUUUCUUUUGAAGCUGAAGAUAAGUCUAUUUGGUGCAUCUCAGCAGCAGCAGAUUGAAUGUAUACUUUAUCAGCAUCCGCACUAGUUCUCUUCUCAUCAGGAUUAUGAUUGUAUCCUGUGCCCUUGUGACCCUU